CCUACGGGUGGCAGCAGGCGAGAAAACUUUGCAAUGUGCGAAAGCACGACAAGGUUAAUCCGAGUGGUUUCUGCUAAAGAAACCUUUUGUCAGUCCUAGAAACACUGGUGAAUAAGGGGUGGGCAAGUUCUUGUGUCAGCCGCCGCGGUAAAACCAGCACCUCAAGUGGUCAGGAUGAUUAUUGGGCCUAAAGCAUCCGUAGCCGGCUAUGUAAGUUUUCGGUUAAAUCUGUGCGCUUAACGUACAGGCUGCCGGGAAUACUGCACAGCUAGGAAGUGGGAGAGGUAGACGGUACUCGGUAGGAAGGGGUAAAAUCCUUUGAUCUAUUGAUGACCACCUGUGGCGAAGGCGGUCUACCAGAACACGUUCGACGGUGAGGGAUGAAAGCUGGGGGAGCAAACCGGAUUAGAUACCCGCGUAGUC
rnacentral:rRNA from 1 species